rnacentral:rRNA from 1 species
UACGUAGGGGGCGAGCGUUGUCCGGAUUUAUUGGGCGUAAAGAGCGUGUAGGCGGUUCGGUAAGUCUGUCGUGAAAUCCUGAGGCUCAACCUCGGGCGUGCGAUGGAUACUGCCGGGCUAGAGGGUGGUAGAGGCGAGUGGAAUUCCUGGUGUAGCGGUGAAAUGCGCAGAUAUCAGGAGGAACACCGAUGGCGAAGGCAGGUCUCUGGGCCAUAACUGACGCUGAGAAGCGAAAGCAUGGGGAGCGAACAGG